rnacentral:lncRNA from 1 species
UACUUAUAUUAUCAAGAAACAAAACAAAAGCAAAAAGAAGUACGUAAAUAAAAUAAAGAAGUUGCACCUUAAAUGUUGCACCCUAAAGACUAAUUGCUUUAGUGUGCCACAAUGUAUCUUCCUUCCUUCCUUCCUUCCUUCCUUCCUUCUUCUGUUGGACAUUUUAUUGGCCGUGAGCAGGAAGAGGUUGGUUCUCCCUUGUGGAGGAUCCCGUGAUGGAGGCUUCAAUCUUUAAGGAGAAAGGCAGGAUAAAAAUUAUUUUAAUAAAUAGAAGAAAAUACACAUAUAUCCCACAGUGGUAGGCUAGCUCUUCUUCUUCAGCCUUUUCCUGCCCUGCCCUCAGGAAGAAUCCCGCAUAACUCAGAAGCUUGCACUUCAUGGCAGAGUUGAAACAGGUCCCACAGAUGUUGUUCGUGCCUUCCUCUACAUUUUGGAUUAUGCCUGGCGACCCUUCGCAGGGUUCUGGCCUAAUCCAGACCUGAGAGCUGGGGUGCAUCCCCCCCCCGGCAGUUUUGCACAGCCUGUCCGAGGCCAGGAUUCUCACUGGUCCUCGUGGCGGUGGGAGCCAGCUAGUAGCAAGGGGUCACCCCAAACUGCUCCACUGGCCCCAGAUCCCGGCUGAGCUACAGCAACGGGGUGCUUCUCUCGGUGCACAAACCGAUUGAACAGGCUGAGAGAGAAACAUUCCAGAGCAGUGUCUCUGAGGGUGAAGUUACUUGGGGUCCAGUGGCUGAAGGGGAGCUUCUGGCUCCCACGGAUAUUGGUAUCCAGGUUUUGAAGUGGUGCAGGAUAGCUGCGGACAUCCUGAACCUCAGAAGGACACGAUAUUUUGAAGUGGUGCAGGAUAGCUGCGGACAUCCUAAACCUCAGAAGGACGCGAUAUUUCCUCCAUGCAAAGUGUCCUGGGAUCUCUGCUGAUGGGCAGGCUAGGAAGUGAACGAUUAAAAGCACCAGCAUGUCUCUCUCCUGUGUUUGCAUAGCCUUGCAAUCCUGUACCCUGAGAUUUCAGGGUGGGAUGUAGCCCACAAAACACGUUGGACCCAUUCCGAGGAAUGCAGGGAGAUAAAGCCAUUUGCAAAAGCCCACAACCCAACAGGUCAGAAUCAGGGGCGAAGGAAUGAGUGGGAGUUUUGUCCGUCCUCCCCCUUUCCUCUUCCUUUUCCAGACUUCCAUGUCCAGUACCGGAUCGCUGGGAAGACGGGGGGCUGUGAGGAGAAGUUUUUAGAGGACGUCUCCAAGCUCCUGCACUACCAGGGGGUCUCUCUCAAGGUGGAGACGUUUGUUGAAAACCUGAAGCACCCCCUUCUGCUCUUCUGCCCCAUCGCUUCCUCCAUGCUCAUUGACAUUGAAAACGCCCUCCAGGGAGUCCGUGGCGAGCGGAAGGUCCUCCUGGUGGUGAUGCACUAUGUUCAAAAGGAGAACUCAGGAACCCCUGUGGAUGCUAAGCACCGCAUGACCCAUCCGGCCGUGGUGCGGACCGUGCACACCCGCUUCACCCUCCAGGAUGGCUUCUACCCUUGUGAGAUGAACGAGAGGGCCAUGGCUGACGUGGCAUCUGCUCUGCAAAACUUUGGGAAAGGCCACAGAGGUGCAGCUGUUUCUGGUGUCCUUCUUGUGUGAUCUCACGUUGUGGGAAAGUGCUGGGGGGGGGGACUUUUCAGACCCGGAUGGGGAUUGCUGCAGUGCAUGCUGGGACUGGCCUGACUUUGCCCGUUGUGGGGGUGUAGGGAGGGGGCUUCCCCUGGGGGGUUCUUGCAUCAGGGCUGGGAUUGACACACACACACUCCCGGCCAUGGAGCAGCACCCUUUCUUCAGCUGAGGAAGGUGCUCGUAGCGGUCAGGGAGAUGGGAAACCGGCCCUGUUCCUCUGGGCAUGCGCAGACCCACCUGCAGCCUCAGGCUGACUGGGCAGAGCUGGCCGUGUAUGCUUCUGCGCAUGUCGUGGGAAGGGGCUGAGUUUGUUGGGUGGGUGGGUGUAGCGUUCUCCAUUUAUUAGAUCUAUGGUGCAUGUUAUAUUAUGUGAUGGUGGAUGAAUAUUCAUGUUGCUGAGAGGCGGAGCCGAGAGAGAGAGAGAGAGAGAGAUGUCAUGAGAGGUGGAGUCAGAGAGUCAGGAGGGGCAGAUUAAGUGCGAUUGCGUCAGUCAGCAGAAGAGUAAGAACCAGAUAGAGUAAUAAGAGUGUGAAGUUUGGGGAAUUCUGAGGUGUGAUUAGAUACUGGAACUAUUCAUGGAUCAGUUUAAGUUACUGUAUGCAAUAAACAAUACAGUGGGGUCUCUACUUAAGAACUU